AUUGAACGCUGGCGGCAGGCCUAACACAUGCAAGUCGACGUAAGUGGCGAACGGGUGAGUAAUACGUGGGUAACCUGCCCUCCUUUUUGGGAUAAGCCUUGGAAACGGGGUCUAAUACCGAAUAAAGGGGGAUGGGCUCGCGGCCUAUCAGCUUGUUGGUGGGGUGAUGGCCUACCAAGGCGGUGACGGGUAGCCGGCCUGAGAGGGUGACCGGCCACAUUGGGACUGAGAUACGGCCCAGACUCCUACGGGAGGCAGCAGUGGGGGAUAUUGCACAAUGGGCGAAAGCCUGAUGCAGCGACGCCGCGUGGGGGAUGAAGGCUUUCGGGUUGUAAACCUCUGUUGUUAAGGAAGGAGGACUUAACCAGAAAGGGACGGCUAACUACGUGCCAGCCGCCGCGGUAAUUC
rnacentral:rRNA from 1 species